UGUCUUUGGCUUCUGUUUGCUUAACAUGGACUACAACUCCAGCCCGCACACAAUUAUCUGCUAGAAAUGGUAAACACAUUGAGCACCUCACAAACAUAUCACAUCCAGUAACAAGCCACGAUAACUCACAUGAGAAAAGAGAAAACAAUAAAAUAAAACACUUGGUGCAUAACUUGCAUACAUGAGUACAUACAAGUACAACCAAAAUAAUCGGGCUCCGUAAGCAAGAUUACUAUGGCAAAAUGAUGUGCCAUGUGUCAGCAUCCUUCAAACAGUGGCUUCGUCAAAUGCAAGCCCUGUGAACUCCUCUUUAGUUGUUUGCUCAAAACAUUUAUGCCAACCAUAUUAGUUUUGGGCCUCUCACAUCAUCCAUCUGCUCAUCUAAAAAGAAUAAAGGAUAUUAGACAAUCAAUACAGCAUACGUAACAGUCAGGUAUAUUCAGGGAAAGGAACAAAUAUUGAGCCUGUAGAUGGUUUGUAGUAUAUUUAGUCAAGGAAAAAACAAUGAAUAACACUUGCAAUACAUUUUGUACCAAGCAAAGGAACAAAAUGUACAGUAAAACAUGCUUUUGAAUCAUGUGUAUAUAUAGAAGGGGCGAAUGCACGUGCACAUAUUAUGCAUACAAAAACAUCAGUACUGGCCCUCUUUUCACUUUCUUGCAUCAACCAGGUUUCCACACAUACACAAAAAAAAAGAUGCCGAUAACAGACAGCAAGGAAAUAAAUAUUCGAGGUGUGAAUUGAAAUUUUUGAUGUGGAGCUACCAAGCAAAUGAGGGGCGUCGAUGAAAAACGGCCUGCUGUAGAUGUCAUCCAAAAUUAUUUGAACAGUGGAAGUAAUAAAGAAAACUACCAAAAACAAUUUGAAUACAUGUAUAAUAUUUUCUGCAAAAAAUAUCAUGAACGCUAAUGCAAGCAUCUUAGUUGUUUUUCUUAAAGUCCUCUACACAAACUUCAGAACCAUAAUAGCUGGGAAGCAAUUUUAGAUGAUUGACCCUAGUAAUCUAGAUAGAUUGAAUUUCUACAGCCACCGAAUUGUACUCGAGUGAUUUAUACCUUGAACUACACACUGAGAACUUCUUUGUAGACUAUGUUCUUUGUACAAUUUGCAUUGGAGUUGGUUUGGCCUUCCUUUUGCUUAUCUGGGACAGUAAGAAUCUUCAUAUUACUUCUUGAUGUAGCUCUAGAAAGAGCAACAUAGAGUUGCCCGUGUGAAAAUACCGGUUCAGGAAGGUAUACACCAACAUUUUGUAUAGUUUGUCCCUGUGCCUUGUUAAUGGUCAGAGCAAAGCUAAGCCUGACUGGAAACUGCUUCCUCUUGAACCUAAAUGGAAACAUCUCAUCAUCUGAUGGGCAAAGAGGAAUUCGAGGAAGGAACACCCUCUUACUAGCAUGAUGGCCCAGCACAAUCUCAGCAUCAAUUGCAUUCCUCAUGAACCCUCGGACAAUCAGCCUCGUCCCGUUGCACAACCCACUCACUGGGUCAAUGUUCCGUAACAAUAUAAUCUCUACUCCUAUAAAAUACCCAGUUGGUGGUAAUGAUGUGCCUGCCAUACCUGAUUUUCGAUCGUCAGAUGUGCAUCCAACGCAUGAGAGCUAACUAUGGUUUAUGUUUGUAAAAAAAACCUUAUUCUCUUCGUUCAGCUCCAGCCAUCCCCUCCUUAUCCAAAUCCUAUGAGCGAAGGCAUUGGAUCCUUCACGAAAACGAAAGAAAACAGUGGAACCAAAGAGGGCAGCGCCGCUGCCGCUCCACACACCGCCGGCGCCGCCGAUGCAGUCCGCUCCUAACACCCUCUUCCGCCUCCUCACUGCAGCAACAUCCCCAUCGCUCACUAUCCCCGAUUUCUCCCCCCGCCUGCCCCGUCUCCUCCGACGCCGACGUCGGCAAACAC
rnacentral:lncRNA from 1 species